GAAGAGAAGGAAAGAAAAAUAGAGGGAGCAUCUUUCGCUGCGAUCUGUGAGAGGUGAGAAGCACCUUGCAAAGGUGUCAGCAAAGGGAGACAUUUAAGGAUCCAAUGGAUUUCCUAUCUAAGUUGAAGAGGUGGAUCUCAAAAUUCUGCAUUAAAAAUCCCACUCUGAAUGUUGGGGUGAAGGAUAUCAAAGCAAAUGUACCUCUGGAUCCAGACGCAUACCGUCAAUGGCUCGCCCUAGAUGAGGACCAGAGAAACGUGAGAUACGAAGACCAUCCUGAGAGAUUCAGCUGGUACUCGCACACACAUCAUAUACACACAGGAGGCAGGCCUUUCUUGGAGGUCGUAAGGCACUUUUCAGACGGAUAUAGUUUUUAUAGGCGCCAGCAAAUGUGAGAAAGGGCCACUUCGACUUAAGGUCUGGCGGAAGGACCUGGGGUGUGGGGAUGGAGGAUGAUGAGUACAAGGUCUACAACUGUCAUCAUUUCUCUCCUCGGUCCCUAAGUGAGAAGUCCAAGAGCAGGGUUCCCCAGACUACUGCCCGGAGGCCAGAUGCAGCCCAAUGGGCUCGUUUAUCCGACCCCCGCUGCCACUGCCACUGCCUGCUCUUACUGGCACU